rnacentral:rRNA from 1 species
CUACGGGGCGCAGCAGUGGGGAAUAUUGGACAAUGGGCGAAAGCCUGAUCCAGCCAUGCCGCGUGAGUGAUGAAGGCCUUAGGGUUGUAAAGCUCUUUCGCAGGUGAAGAUAAUGACGGUAACCUGUAAAGAAGCCCCGGCUAACUUCGUGCCAGCAGCCGCGGUAAUACGAAGGGGGCUAGCGUUGUUCGGAAUCACUGGGCGUAAAGCGCGCGUAGGCUGACUGAUAAGUCAGGGGUGAAAUCCCGGGGCUCAACCCCGGAACUGCCUUUGAAACUGUCAGUCUUGAGACUCGGAGGGGAUGGCGGAAUUCCUAGUGUAGAGGUGAAAUUCGUAGAUACUAGGAGGAACACCAGUGGCGAAGGCGGCCAUCUGGACGAGUACUGACGCUGAGGUGCGAAAGCGUGGGGAGCGAACAGGAUUAGAUACCCGCGUAGUC